rnacentral:lncRNA from 1 species
GGCCAGAGCACUCCCAUGAUGGGUGACCCACUGGGAAGUUACUCGUGAGUUCCCAAAAACAAAAUUGUGAGGGCGUGGUUGGGGUCCAAAGCGAACAAUACCUCAUCUCUAGGGCAUUUUCAUAAAUUCACAUUUUAAAAAUUCAUAAAGUCGUAGAACUAGGGACAGGUUGUCAUAAGAGAGACUAAAUUUCUAAACCAAAUUUUGUAAACGAAAUGAUGUGUUUUUUGUUGAUUGAAUUAUUACUCAAAUGUUGACUAACGUACUUAUUUUCUAUUAGUGAUACAUUAUUUGAUUUGCAAAUUUGGUUUAAAUGACAACUGUUUUAGCCACUCCAAAUAUAUAAUUCACAUAUUAUAUUUCCAUACACCAAAAUGUCCUAACAAUUAUAGAAACAAAUAAAGAUCAAAAUUAAUACACGGGCUUUCUUUGACAAGUAUGCCCAAAAUUUAACCACGACAAAAUUAUAAAAUAAGAAAAGAAAAUAAAUUUGGUGAAUGGAAAUAAUUCACAUGCUAGAUCACGUGCCUGACAGCCAGAAACCAAAGCUUUUAUGCUCAUAGUUCCCAUCCACACCAGAAGAAAACGAACCUCAAUUGAGAUGGGGAGACGGCCCACAUGGCGCCAUACAUGUAAAUUAUGUGAGAUUGUUUAGUGUGCCCAGAAUAGGGAGUAGUAGACUAUAUUUUAGGGAUGUGAUAUCUACACACUUCAUUUUACUUUUUACACAUCUUUUUAAUUUUCGGUCUUCGGAUCGGAUGAAUUGAAGAAAAUCAACGGACAAAAUUAUCAAAGGUGUGUGAGAAGUAAAAUAGGGUGUGUGGAUAGCACACUCCAUAUUUUAUUAUAUAAAUGGGGUGCCACUUGAAAAUAAAAUUUUCAUCCACUUAAUUAUAUAAUAACAUGUGGUGUUAUAUUCCGUGUUUUGGGAAAAAUAAUUUCUUGUAAAUCAUGAGUGUGCAAAAAUGUAGUAAAUAGUAGAAACAAUGGGAUUAAACAAAAUCGAAUUCUUAUUAUCACUAAAGUUCUAAAAAGACAUUAGGUGCUAGUUGGGCAACAGAUUAGGCCAUCUCCAACCGAAGGGUCCAGAGGGCCAGAGGGCCGAAAAUAGCCCUAAAACCGUCUCCAACCGAGGGCUAGGCCAGAGGGCUCUGGAAUCUGGGAGGACCCCACGGGAUCGGAGAGGGCUGGAG